rnacentral:rRNA from 1 species
UACGAAGGGGGCUAGCGUUGCUCGGAAUCACUGGGCGUAAAGCGCACGUAGGCGGCUUUUUAAGUCAGGGGUGAAAUCCUGGAGCUCAACUCCAGAACUGCCUUUGAUACUGGGAAGCUUGAGUCCGGAAGAGGUGAGUGGAACUCCGAGUGUAGAGGUGAAAUUCGUAGAUAUCAGGAGGAACACCGGUGGCGAAGGCGGCUCUCUGGACGGUGACUGACGCUGAGACGCGAAAGCGUGGGGAGCAAACAGG